AGUGGAUACAUUAAGGACCAAAAUGAUCAAAUUCCAAUAGAUUAGUGACCAUUUUCGUCAUGAAUGGACUUAACUUUCCCAACUCUCUCUCUCCAAAGAAGGCAAGUUUGUCUGAGCUAAAUUUGAUCAAAACCUCACAAUUUAGAGCAAAUUUAAUGGAGGGUUCCUUGGGUCUCGAAUCUAUCACGCACUUGUGAUUUGCCAUGAACAGGGCAAGUUACAGACUAGCUAAAAGAACUAUCCUAGACGAUGAAGAAGGGUGAAUUGCACUACGAACAAUUGCACCUGGAAUAUGUCUUUUAUUUCAUUAGAGUCGAAGCAAGAUUUCACUGUUGUCCAACUAAGUUGUGUAUUUUGAGGUCCAGCUUGUUUCCAUUGUCAAGGUGUGUGAUGUUCUGUCUGUAGACAUACGCAAUGCAGUAAAAUGGAUACACAUUACCUGAGA